rnacentral:rRNA from 1 species
UGGGGAAUCUUGCACAAUGGGGGAAACCCUGAUGCAGCGACGCCGCGUGAGCGAUGAAGCCCUUCGGGGUGUAAAGCUCUUUCGGCAGGGAAGAAUUCAGACGGUACCUGCAAAAGAAGCCCCGGCUAACUACGUGCCAGCAGCCGCGGUAAUACGUAGGGGGCAAGCGUUGUUCGGAAUUACUGGGCGUAAAGAGCGCGUAGGCGGUGCGGUGUGUUUGAUGUGAAAUCUCCCGGCUCAACCGGGAGGGGCCAUCGAAAACUGCCGUGCUUGGGUACGGGAGAGGGGAGUGGAAUUCCCGGUGUAGCGGUGAAAUGCGUAGAGAUCGGGAGGAACACCAGUGACGAAGGUGGCUCCCUGGACCGUUACCGACGCUGAGGCGCGAAAGCUAGGGGAGCAAACAGG